GUCCACACCGUAAACGUUGGGCGCUAGGUGUGGGACUCAUUCCACGAGUUCCGUGCCGCAGCUAACGCAUUAAGCGCCCCGCCUGGGGAGUACGGCCGCAAGGCUAAAACUCAAAGGAAUUGACGGGGGCCCGCACAAGCGGCGGAGCAUGCGGAUUAAUUCGAUGCAACGCGAAGAACCUUACCUGGGUUUGACAUACGCCGGAAACACCUAGAGAUAGGUGCCCUUUUAGUCGGUGUACAGGUGGUGCAUGGCUGUCGU
rnacentral:rRNA from 1 species